CCCUUAGAUGUCCUGGGCCGCACGCGCGUUACACUGAUGCAUUCAACGAGCUUAUAACCUUGGCCGAGAGGCCUGGGCAAUCUUGUUAACGUGCAUCGUGAUAGGGAUAGAUUAUUGAAAUUAUUAAUCUUGAACGAGGAAUUCCUAGUAAACGCAGAUCAUCAAUCUGCAUUGACUACGUCCCUGCCCUUUGUACACACCGCCCGUCGCACCUACCGAUUGGAUGGUCCGGUGAAGCCUCGGGAUUGUGGUUCUUGCCGCUUUAUUGUAGCGUGACCGCGAGAACUUGUCUAAACCUUAUCAUCUAGAGGAAGGUGAAGUCGUAACA
rnacentral:rRNA from 1 species